rnacentral:rRNA from 1 species
UACGGAGGGUGCAAGCGUUGCUCGGAAUUAUUGGGCGUAAAGAGCUCGUAGGCGGUUUGUCGCGUCGGCUGUGAAAACCUGGGGCUCAACCCCGGGCCUGCAGCCGAUACGGGCAAGCUAGAGUUCGGUAGGGGAGACUGGAAUUCCUGGUGUAGCGGUGAAAUGCGCAGAUAUCAGGAGGAACACCGGUGGCGAAGGCGGGUCUCUGGGCCGAUACUGACGCUGAGGAGCGAAAGCGUGGGGAGCAAACAGG